CCGAGUUAUACAACUCAUCAACCCUGUGAACAUACCUAUAACGUUACCUCGGCGGGAACAGACGGCCCCGUAACACGGGCCGCCCCCGCCAGAGGACCCCCUAACUCUGUUUCUAUAAUGUUUCUUCUGAGUAAACAAGCAAAUAAAUUA
rnacentral:misc_RNA from 1 species